AACAUGCUAUCACCCAUGUCGAGACCGAGGGGCAUCUUGUGCAUAAGUAAUUAGUUAACGCCUAGUUAUCUCAGGUCAGAUAUUUCCUUUUCUGAUUGCAAAUCAAUAGAGCGCACUAAACUUGACACAGGCAACAUUUCUCGGAGAUAACAUCAUACUACUAAGUUAAGCAAGAAGCGACAGAUCUCUAGAGCACAUUAAGAUAACUGAACAACAGCCUCUUCAGAAAAUGAAAAUAACUUGCCUAGAUUGACACUAACAAAGAACGGCACACGCGCCUGCAUGCGUGGAGAUAACAACUUCAGUGGGUCGAAAGAAGCAACAAGAGGUAGAUCGACAGAGACAACCCAACACACGCGACAUUUUCACGCGAUAACUCUAACUUAACUAGAUCGACCGGGGCGGCAAGCGGCAGAUGCGCGCGCAUGCAUGCAUGCAUGCUCUGCUCUCCCUUACAGCGCGAAGGCGGCGGCCGCCGCCGCGGCGCCGGCAGUGCGCAGUAUCUGAAAAUACAGCUGCGAAUUCGCCACGAAUGCCGCGCGGGAGAUGAAGAAGCCGGCCGCGCCUGGCGCCUUCAUCGUGGCGCCGGCGGCCACCGCCCCAGCAG
rnacentral:lncRNA from 1 species